CUCCUUAAAUGCAGCCAUUACCUCAGAACUGAAGUUCUCAGUUUCCAGAACUCCCCACAUGGACUGGAACUUGGAAAAGAGUUUAUGCACAAACAACUUGAAGCAAACUGAGUCUUCAAAUAUCAGCAUUUUUAACAUCAGACAAGACCUGGAUAUAGCUGUGCAAUAAUCCAGGAGGUCAGUGUCCGAGUCAUGGGAUCGCGAGCACCUUGCCGACCCUCUCUGAGCCAGCCCUGCAUCAUCCAUAAGAGUCUGGGCACAUAGGAGUUGAUCACUAUUUCUUGAAAAAGAAGGCAUAAAUGAAUAUAGAAUAAUGAAACUUAAUUCUUAAAAAUGAAAUUCAAGAAUCUUCUGGAUAUUCUGCUGUGAAUAAAGUGGACAGCAACUGACAACUGGCACACAUUUUCAU